rnacentral:tRNA from 1 species
GCGUUUGUGGCUCAAUUGGAUAGAGCAACGGACUUCGGAUCCGUAGGUUGCGGGUUCAAAUCCUGUCAAACGCACCA